UAUGGCCACAUCAUGCUGAAACACCAGUUCUCAUAUGAUUACAAAACUUAAGCAAUGUUGAGCCUGCUCAGUACCUAGAUGGGUGACUGCCUGGGAUUACCAGGUACUGUAAG